rnacentral:rRNA from 1 species
CAGCAGCCACGGGAAUACGUAGGUGGCAAGCGUUGUCCGGAAUUAUUGGGCGUAAAGGGCUCGCAGGCGGUUUCUUAAGUCUGAUGUGAAAGCCCCCGGCUCAACCGGGGAGGGUCAUUGGAAACUGGGAAACUUGAGUGCAGAAGAGGAGAGUGGAAUUCCACGUGUAGCGGUGAAAUGCGUAGAGAUGUGGAGGAACACCAGUGGCGAAGGCGACUCUCUGGUCUGUAACUGACGCUGAGGAGCGAAAGCGUGGGGAGCGAACAGGAUUAGAGACCCCAGUAGUCCCUGUCUCUUAUAC